CCAGGAAAUGAUACUUGCCAGCCAUGAUAUCUCAGUGGGCAAUGACACAAAAGUGCAGUGUUUCUUGUAUGAUAUUGUUGCAAAUGGUCGAACUGGAAUAGAUGUUGACAAGUUUGACUAUAUUGAAUGAGAUUGCCGAGCUUGUGGCCUUGGUUGCAAUUUUGAAUUUCAGAGGUUAAUGGAAUGCAUGCGGGUGAUAGAUGAGGAAAUAUGCUCUCGUGCCAAGGAGUAUCUAACAGUCCACAAACUAUUUACCACCCGGGCUGAUCGCGAUCGAACAGUAAAUACGCAUGCAAAAGUUAAGG